rnacentral:rRNA from 1 species
AGCAUAUCAAUAAGCGGACCAAAAGAAACCACAGGGAUUGCCCUAGUAACGGCGAGUGAAGCGGCAACAGCUCAAAUUUGAAAUCUGGCCUAGGCCCGAGUUGUAAUUUGCAGAGGAUGCUUUUGGCGCGGUGCCUUCCGAGUUCCCUGGAACGGGACGCCACAGAGGGUGAGAGCCCCGUAUGGUCGGACACCAAGCCUCUGUAAAGCUCCUUCGACGAGUCGAGUAGUUUGGGAAUGCUGCUCAAAAUGGGAGGUAAAUCUCUUCUAAAGCUAAAUACCGGCCAGAGACCGAUAGCGCACAAGUAGAGUGAUCGAAAGAUGAAAAGCACCUUGAAAAGGGGGUUAAACAGUACGUGAAAUUGUUGAAAGGGAAGCGCUUGUGACCAGACUUGCGCCAGGCGGCUCAUCCGGCGUUCUCGCCGGUGCACUCCGCCUGGCACAGGCCAGCAUCGGUUCUUGCCGGGGGAUAAGAGCUCCGGGAACGUAGCUCCCUACGGGGAGUGUUAUAGCCCGCUGCACGAUACCCUGGCGGGGACCGAGGUUCGCGCUCCGCAAGGAUGCUGGCGUAAUGGUCAUCAGCGACCCGUCUUGAAACACGGACCAAGGAGUCGUCCAUUAGAGCGAGCGUUUGGGUGUAAAACCCGCACGCGUAAUGAAAGUGAACGCAGGUGAGAGCUUCGGCGCAUCAUCGACCGAUCCUGAUGUACUCGGAUGGAUUUGAGUAAGAGUUUUACUGGACGGACCCGAAAGACAGUGAACUAUGCCUGAAUAGGGUGAAGCCAGAGGAAACUCUGGUGGAGGCUCGCAGCGGUUCUGACGUGCAAAUCGAUCGUCAAAUUUGGGCAUGGGGGCGAAAGACUAAUCGAACUGUCUAGUAGCUGGUUACCGCCGAAG